GCCCGGGUGGUGGAACUGGUAGACACGCUAGCCUUAGGAGCUAGUACCGUAAGGUGUGAAGGUUCGAGUCCUUUCCCGGGCACCA
rnacentral:tRNA from 1 species